GACGAACGCUGGCGGCGUGCUUAACACAUGCAAGUGGAGCGACGAACCAGGGCUUGCCCUGGGGCAGAGCCGCGAACGGGUGAGUAACACGUGGGUUACCUGCCUCGAUGACCGGGACAACCCGAGGAAACUCGGGCUAAUACCGGAUGUGCCCGCAAGGGGAAAGGAAGCUUCGGCCUCCGCAUCGAGAUGGGCCCGCGGCCCAUUAGCUUGUUGGUGAGGUAACGGCUCACCAAGGCUUCGAUGGGUAGCUGGUCUGAGAGGACGAUCAGCCACACUGGGACUGAGACACGGCCCAGACUCCUACGGGAGGCAGCAGUGGGGAAUCUUGCGCAAUGCGCGAAAGCGUGACGCAGCAACGCCGCGUGGGGGAAGAAGGCUUUCGGGUUGUAAACCCCUUUCAGUUGGGACGAAGCUCUGUCGGUUAAUAGCCGGUCGGAGUGACGGUACCUUCACAAGAAGCACCGGCUAACUACGUGCCAGCAGCCGCCGUAA
rnacentral:rRNA from 1 species